rnacentral:misc_RNA from 1 species
GAAAUGUUAUAAGUAGUGUGAAUUGCAGAAUUCCGUGAAUCAUCGAAUCUUUGAACGCACAUUGCGCCUCCUGGCAUUCCAGGGGGCAUGCCUGUUCGAGCGUCAUUAAAAAGCCUUCAGACGAGCUUGGCUCGCCUGGUCCGAGUCCUGAGGGAAUGGUCACCUUCCGGUUGCCCAUCCCCGAAAUCCAACGGCGGACAACCCCCGGUGGAGCUGCUGGCGUGGUGAGGAAUACUUUCGCCAGUGGUCUCCGAGACAGUCCUGCCGAUUGGACCCCCCCACACAUUCAAACGGUUGACCUCAGGUCAGGUAGGGAUACCCGCUGAACUUAA